rnacentral:lncRNA from 1 species
UGAUGUGUUUUAUGGAAAGUUGGUUCUUAGAAGUGAUCUUUAGGGAUCGAUGAAUAUUCUUAGUGUUAUUAGGAUAUGGCAUGCUAGAGUGUGUGAAUUGAUGGUAAAGUAGAAUGGAAAUAUUUAUGCGGAAACAUAGGAAUUGAUCAAAAAUGAAUGGCAUGUAAAACGAAAAAAGUUAAGGAAAUUGGUAAAAUAAGGUUUAAAUAAGGAAAUUACGGGACUAAAGAAAUGAACAUAAUUAACGAAAUUAUGAUUUGGCUAUGGGCCGCAAAAAGAUAUAUGGUUUGUAUUUGGCUUCGGACCGUAUGUUGGCUUUGGCCGUGAUGGACCUUCGGGGUUGAGUGGCGUCAGGCCGUAUGAGUGAGCGACAAGUCGAGUGGCUUUGGGCUGUAUGUGAUGGAUACGGGCCAAGAAUUGGCUACGGGCCAUGUCUGAUUGGCAAUUGGGCUGAGAAUUGGCUACGGGCCGUGUAUGAUUGGCUUUGGAACGUAAGUGACCUUCAUAGUCGAGAACGAGUAUAGUGGUUAAGUGAAUGGAAGUCCCUAAAAUGUAUAAGUAAAGAUAAAUUGCUAGUUCAACAAAAAUGGUUAAUAGGAUGAAAUGGAAUAUUAGGUUGCUGGAACGGAAUGGUAUAUUAGGCUGUGAGAAUGGAAUGGAAUGUUAGGUUGCUAGAACGGAAUUCAUUGUGAAUGUUAGAUAAGUUACGGGUUACAUGUGGGCGGUUUUGAGCAUCCUCACUGAGUAUUUUGUAUCCUCAUGCCUCCUUUUUUUUUUUAUGCAGGUAAGGUUUGAUUGUGUGCGUCAGAGCGCGAGUGUAGAAAGACCAUUGGGAAAUAGUGUUUGAACUUGGAUAAUGUUUUGGGAAUUCUUGUCAGACGGUCUCAUUGUAUUGUUACAAAUUUUAAG